CCUACGGGAGGCAGCAGUGGGGAAUCUUGCGCAAUGGGCGAAAGCCUGACGCAGCCAUGCCGCGUGAAUGAUGAAGGUCUUAGGAUUGUAAAAUUCUUUCACCGAGGACGAUAAUGACGGUACUCGGAGAAGAAGCCCCGGCUAACUUCGUGCCAGCAGCCGCGGUAAUACGAAGGGGGCUAGCGUUGCUCGGAAUUACUGGGCGUAAAGGGAGCGUAGGCGGAUAGUUUAGUCAGAGGUGAAAGCCCAGGGCUCAACCUUGGAAUUGCCUUUGAUACUGGCUAUCUUGAGUACGGAAGAGGUAUGUGGAACUCCGAGUGUAGAGGUGAAAUUCGUAGAUAUUCGGAAGAACACCAGUGGCGAAGGCGACAUACUGGUCCGUUACUGACGCUGAGGCUCGAAAGCGUGGGGAGCAAACAGGAUUAGAUACCCUGGUAGUCCACGCUGUAAACGAUGAGUGCUAGUUGUCGGCAUGCAUGCAUGUCGGUGACGCAGCUAACGCAUUAAGCACUCCGCCUGGGGAGUACGGUCGCAAGAUUAAAACUCAAAGGAAUUGACGG
rnacentral:rRNA from 1 species